GACGAACGCUGGCGGCGUGCCUAAUACAUGCCAGUAGAACGCUGAAGGAGGAGCUUGCUUCUCUGGAUGAGUUGCGAACGGGUGAGUAACGCGUAGGUAACCUGCCUGGUAGCGGGGGAUAACUAUUGGAAACGAUAGCUAAUACCGCAUAAUAGUAGAUGUUGCAUGACAUUUGCUUAAAAGGUGCAAUUGCAUCACUACCAGAUGGACCUGCGUUGUAUUAGCUAGUUGGUGGGGUAACGGCUCACCAAGGCGACGAUACAUAGCCGACCUGAGAGGGUGGACGGCCAAACUGGGACUGGGACACGGCCCAGAAUCCUACGGGAGGCAGCAGUAGGGAAUCUUCGGCAAUGGACGGAAGUCUGACCGAGCAACGCCGCGUGAGUGAAGAAGGUUUUCGGAUCGGAAAGCUCUGUUGUAAGAGAAGAACGAGUGUGAGAGUGGAAAGUUCACACUGUGACGGUAUCUUACCAGAAAGGGACGGCUAACUACGUG
rnacentral:rRNA from 1 species